rnacentral:rRNA from 1 species
GUUCCUACGGGAGGCAGCAGUGGGGAAUAUUGCACAAUGGGGGAAACCCUGAUGCAGCGACGCCGCGUGAGCGAUGAAGUAUUUCGGUAUGUAAAGCUCUAUCAGUAGGGAAGAAAAUGACGGUACCUGACUAAGAAGCCCCGGCUAACUACGUGCCAGCAGCCGCGGUAAUACGUAGGGGGCACGCGUUAUCCGGAUUUACUGGGUGUAAAGGGAGCGUAGACGGCGGUGCAAGCCAGAUGUGAAAGCCCGGGGCUCAACCCCGGGACUGCAUUUGGAACUGCGUGGCUGGAGUGCAGGAGGGC